rnacentral:rRNA from 1 species
AGUGAACGCUGGCGGUAGGCCUAACACAUGCAAGUCGAACGGCAGCACAGUAAGAGCUUGCUCUUACGGGUGGCGAGUGGCGGACGGGUGAGGAAUACAUCGGAAUCUACUUUUUCGUGGGGGAUAACGUAGGGAAACUUACGCUAAUACCGCAUACGACCUACGGGUGAAAGCAGGGGAUCUUCGGACCUUGCGCGAUUGAAUGAGCCGAUGUCGGAUUAGCUAGUUGGCGGGGUAAAGGCCCACCAAGGCGGCGAUCCGUAGCUGGUCUGAGAGGAUGUUCAGCCACACUGGAACUGAGACACGGUCCAGACUCCUACGGGAGGCAGCAGUGGGGAAUAUUGGACAAUGGGCGCAAGCCUGAUCCAGCCAUACCGCGUGGGUGAAGAAGGCCUUCGGGUUGUAAAGCCCUUUUGUUGGGAAAGAAAAGCAGCAGGUUAAUACCCCGCUGUUCUGACGGUACCCAAAGAAUAAGCACCGGCUAACUUCGUG